CAGUAGCCGCGGGAAUACGUAGGGUGCAAGCGUUAAUCGGAAUUACUGGGCGUAAAGCGUGCGCAGGCGGUUCGCUAAGACAGAUGUGAAAUCCCCGGGCUUAGCCUGGGAACUGCAUUUGUGACUGGCGGGCUAGAGUAUGGCAGAGGGGGGUAGAAUUCCACGUGUAGUAGUGAAAUGCGUAGAGAUGUGGAGGAAUACCGAUGGCGAAGGCAGCCCCCUGGGCCAAUACUGACGCUCAUGCACGAAAGCGUGGGGAGCAAACAGGAUUAGAUACCCCCGUAGUCCCUGUCUCUUAUAA
rnacentral:rRNA from 1 species